rnacentral:rRNA from 1 species
CCCUUAGAUGUUCUGGGCUGCACGCGCGCUACACUGAUGCACUCAACGAGUUUACGACCUUGCCCGAUAGGGUUGGGUAAUCUUUUUAAAAUGCAUCGUGAUGGGGAUAGAUUAUUGCAAUUAUUAAUCUUCAACGAGGAAUUCCUAGUAAACGCGAGUCAUCAGCUCGUGCUGAUUACGUCCCUGCCCUUUGUACACACCGCCCGUCGCUCCUACCGAUUGAGUGCUCAGGUGAAUAAUUCGGACUGCAGCAAUGUUUGGAUCCCGAACGUUGCAGCGGAAAGUUUAGUGAACCUUAUCACUUAGAGGAAGGAGAAGUCGUANCA